rnacentral:rRNA from 1 species
AGAGUUUGAUCAUGGCUCAGGAUGAACGCUGGCGGUAUGCUUAACACAUGCAAGUCGAACGGAGUACUUCGGUACUUAGUGGCGGACGGGUGAGUAACGCGUGAGAAUCUGCCUUCUGGUCGGGGACAACCACUGGAAACGGUGGCUAAUACCGGAUGAGCCUACGGGUAAAAGAUUUAUUGCCAGAAGAGGAGCUCGCGUCUGAUUAGCUAGUUGGUGAGGUAAAGGCUCACCAAGGCAUCGAUCAGUAGCUGGUCUGAGAGGAUGACCAGCCACACUGGGACUGAGACACGGCCCAGACUCCUACGGGAGGCAGCAGUGGGGAAUUUUCCGCAAUGGGCGAAAGCCUGACGGAGCAAGACCGCGUGAGGGAGGAAGGCUCUUGGGUUGUAAACCUCUUUUCUUGGGGAAGAAAAAAAUGACGGUACCCAAGGAAUCAGCAUCGGCUAACUCCGUGCCAGCAGCCGCGGUAAUACGGAGGAUGCAAGCGUUAUCCGGAAUUAUUGGGCGUAAAGCGUCCGCAGGUGGCACUUCAAGUCUGCUGUCAAAGGUCGGGGCUUAACCCCGGGAAGGCAGUGGAAACUGAAGCGCUAGAGUGUCGUAGGGGUAGAGGGAAUUCCCGGUGUAGCGGUGAAAUGCGUAGAGAUCGGGAAGAACAUCGGUGGCGAAAGCGCUCUACUGGACGACAACUGACACUCAGGGACGAAAGCUAGGGGAGCGAAUGGGAUUAGAUACCCCCGUAGUCC